rnacentral:rRNA from 1 species
GAUGGGGUGCCUAAUACAUGCAAGUAGAACGCUGAAGCUUGGUGCUUGCACCGAGCGGAUGAGUUGCGAACGGGUGAGUAACGCGUAGGUAACCUGCCUGGUAGCGGGGGAUAACUAUUGGAAACGAUAGCUAAUACCGCAUAACAGUAGAUAUCGCAUGAUAUGUGCUUGAAAGGUGCAAAUGCAUCACUACCAGAUGGACCUGCGUUGUAUUAGCUAGUUGGUGAGGUAACGGUAAGGCAACGAUACAUAGCCGACCUGAGAGGGUGAUCGGCCACACUGGGACUGAGACACGGCCCAGACUCCUACGGGAGGCAGCAGUAGGGAAUCUUCGGCAAUGGACGGAAGUCUGACCGAGCAACGCCGCGUGAGUGAAGAAGGUUUUCGGAUCGUAAAGCUCUGUUGUAAGAGAAGAACGAGUGUGAGAGUGGAAAGUUCACACUGUGACGGUAUCUUACCAGAAAGGGACGGCUAACUACGUGCCAGCAGCCCGCGGUAAUACGUAGGUCCCGAGCGUUGUCCGGAUUUAUUGGGCGUAAAGCGAGCGCAGGCGGUUAGAUAAGUCUGAAGUUAAAGGCUGUGGCUUAACCAUAGUACGCUUUGGAAACUGUUUAACUUGAGUGCAAGANGGGAGAGUGGAAUUCCAUGUGUAGCGGUGAAAUGCGUAGAUAUAUGGAGGAACACCGUGGCGAAAGCGGCUCUCUGCUUGUAACUGACCCUGAGGCUCGAAAGCGUGGGGAGCAA